rnacentral:rRNA from 1 species
UACGUAGGGUGCGAGCGUUGUCCGGAAUUAUUGGGCGUAAAGGGCUCGUAGGCGGUCUGUCGCGUCGAAAGUGAAAACUCAGGGCUUAACCCUGAGCCUGCUUCCGAUACGGGCAGACUAGAGGUAUGCAGGGGAGAACGGAAUUCCUGGUGUAGCGGUGGAAUGCGCAGAUAUCAGGAGGAACACCGGUGGCGAAGGCGGUUCCCUGGGCAUUACCUGACGCUGAGGAGCGAAAGUGUGGGGAGCGAACAGG